GACGAACGCUGGCGGCGUGCUUAACACAUGCAAGUCGAACGGAAAGGCUCCAGCUUGCUGGAGUACUCGAGUGGCGAACGGGUGAGUAACACGUGGGUAAUCUGCCCUGCACUCUGGGAUAAGCCUGGGAAACUGGGUCUAAUACUGGAUAUGACCUUUCUCCUUAUGGGGUUUUGUGGAAAGUUUUUCGGUGUAGGAUGGGCCCGCGGCCUAUCAGCUUGUUGGUGGGGUGAUGGCCUACCAAGGCGACGACGGGUAGCCGGCCUGAGAGGGUGAUCGGCCACAUUGGGACUGAGAUACGGCCCAGACUCCUACGGGAGGCAGCAGUGGGGAAUAUUGCACAAUGGGCGGAAGCCUGAUGCAGCGACGCCGCGUGAGGGAUGACGGCCUUCGGGUUGUAUACCUCUUUCAGCAGGGACGAAGCGUAAGUGACGGUACCUGCAGAAGAAGCACCGGCUAACUAUGUG
rnacentral:rRNA from 1 species